AGGGUUUGAUCCUGGCUCAGAACAAACGCUGGCGGCGUGGCUAAAGCAUGCAAGUCGCACGAUUAAAGCCCCCUUCGGGGGGUGUAUAUAGUGGCGAAAGGGCGAGUAAUGCAUGGGUAACGUACCCCUCGCACAGGGAUAGCUGCGGAAACUGCAGGUAAUACCUGAUGAGACCACAGUGUCAUAUGGCACAGCGGUCAAAGGGUGGGGGUCCUUCGGGACCUACUGGCGAGAGAGCGGCCCAUGUCCUAUCAGCUUGUUGGUGAGGUAACGGCUCACCAAGGCAUCGACGGGUACCGGGACUGAGAGGUUGACCCGGCGCAUUGGGACUGAGACACUGCCCAGACUCCUACGGGAGGCUGCAGCACCGAAUAUUCCGCAAUGGGCGCAAGCCUGACGGAGCGACGCCGCGUGUGGGGUGAAGCCCUUCGGGGUGUAAACCACUGUCAGGGGUUAGCAAGCAAUGGAGGUUAAUACCCUCCGGCGUUGAGCAGCCCCAGAGGAAGCCACGGCUAACUUCGUGCCAGCAGCCGCGGUAAGACGAAGGUGGCAAGCGUUGUUCGGAAUCACUGGGCUUAAAGAGCACGUAGGCGGCCCGUCAAGCAUCUUGUGAAAUCCCUCGGCUCAACCGAGGAAUGGCUGGGUGAACUGGCGGGCUUGAGGCAGGUAGGGGCACGUGGAACUCUUGGUGGAGCGGUGGAAUGCGUAGAUAUCAAGAGGAACGCCGGUGGCGAAAGCGGCGUGCUGGGCCUGUCCUGACGCUGAGGUGCGAAAGCCAGGGUAGCAAACGGGAUUAGAUACCCCGGUAGUCCUGGCCCUAAACGAUGUCCACUAGGUCGGAGACUCUCUGACGAUUUUCCGGCCGAAACAAAAGCGUUAAGUGGACCGCCUGGGGAGUACGGUCGCAAGGCUAAAACUCAAAGGAAUUGACGGGGGCUCACACAAGCGGUGGAGCAUGUUGCUUAAUUCGAUUCAACGCGAAGAACCUUAUCCUGGGCUUGACAUACUUGGAUACCCAUCUGGAAACAGAGUAGGUUGCUCUUCGGAGUGAAACUUGUACAGGUGCUGCAUGGCUGUCGUCAGCUCGUGUCGUGAGAUGUUGGGUUAAGUCCCGUAACGAGCGAAACCCUUGUCGCUAGUUGCCAGCGCGUAAUGGCGGGGACUCUAGCGAGACUGCCGGUGUUAAACCGGAGGAAGGUGGGGAUGACGUCAAGUCCUCAUGGCCUUUAUGCCCAGGGCUGCAAACGUGCUACAAUGGUCGACACAAACCGAAGCGAAGCCGCGAGGUGGAGCAAAUCGGACAAAGUCGGCCUCAGUUCGGAUUGGAGUCUGCAACUCGACUCCAUGAAGUCGGAAUCGCUAGUAAUCGUGUAUCAGCGCGACACGGUGAAUGUGUUCCUGAGCCUUGUACACACCGCCCGUCAAGUCAUGGAAGCUGGUAGCGCCCGAAGUCGGCAUAUUUCAGUGCUGCCGAAGGUGAGAUCGGUGACUGGGACUAAGUCGUAACAAGGUA
rnacentral:rRNA from 1 species